AGAGUUCGAUCCUAUCUCAGGAUGAACACUGGCGACAUGCUUAACACAUGCAAGUCGGACGGGAAGUGUUGUUUCCAGUGGCGAACGGGUGAGUAAUGCGUAAGAACCUGCCCUUGGGAGGGGAACAACAGCUGGAAACGGCUGCUAGUACCUUGUAGGAUGAAGAGCAAAAUGAGGAAUCCGCCCAAGGAGGGGCUCGCGUCUGAUUAACUAGUUGGUGUGGUAAUAGCUUACCAAGGCGAUGAUCAGUAGCUGGUCCGAGAGGAUGAUCAUCCACAUUGGGACUGAGACACGACCCAGACUCCUACGGGAGGCAGCAGUGGGGAAUUUUACGUAAUGGGCGAAAGCCUGACGGAGCAAUGUCGCGUGGAGGCAGAAGGCUCACGAGUCAUGAACUUCUAUUCCCGGAGCAGAAGCAAUGACGGUAUCUGGGGAAUAAGCAUCGGCUAACUCUGUGCCAGCAGCCGCGAUAAUACAGAGGAUGCAAGCGUUAUUCCAAAAUUUUUGGCGUAAAGCAUCUUUAGGUGGCUUUUUAAGUCCGCGGUCAAAUCGCAGGGAUAAACUCUGGACAGACGGUGGAAACUACCAAGCUGGAGUAUGGUAGGAGUAGAGGGAAUUUCCGGUGGAGCGGUGUAAUGCAUAGACAUCGGAAAGAACACCAACGGCAAAAGCACUCUGCUGGGCCGGCACUGACACUGAGAGACGAAAGCUUGGGGAGCGAACGGGAUUAGAUACCCCAGUAGUCCUAGCCGUAAACGAUGGAUACUAGGCGAUGUGUGUAUCGACCCGUGCAAUGUUGUAGCUAACACGUUAAGUAUCCCGCCUAUGGAGUACGUUUGCAAGAAUUAAACUCAAAGGAAUUAAUGGGGGCCCGCAUAAGCGGUGAAGCAUGUGGUUUAAUUUGAUGCAAAGCGAAGAACCUUUCCAGGGCUUGACAUGUUGUGAAUCCUCUUGAAAGAGAGGGGUGCCUUCGGGAACGCGAACACAAGUGGUGCAUGACUGUCGUCAACUCGUGCCGUAAGGUUGGGUUAAGCCCGACAACGAGCGCAACCCGCAUGUUUAGUUAUCAUCAUUGAGUUUGGAUGUAACGACCAAAAAAUUCCAACCAAUUUAAAUUUUUCAAAAACAACCCGAUUCCAUUAAAUUACUACAAAAAGGUUUUCAAUACAAAUCAUUUAGAGUAUUCCCAGAAUCACAUUACGACAAAAACAUGAGGAGUGGUACGAUCACGCCUUUGCCUUGCCACGGUCUCCUGAAGUACCUGAAAAACAUAAAACCACAACUGUAAGCCCGAAAGCUAAGUGAGAUAUCCCCAAAAUAUCAACCACAUAUACCAUACACGCAUAUCAUGCC
rnacentral:rRNA from 1 species